UUGAACGCUGGCGGCAGGCCUAACACAUGCAAGUCGAGCGGAUGAAGGGAGCUUGCUCCUGGAUUCAGCGGCGGACGGGUGAGUAAUGCCUAGGAAUCUGCCUGGUAGUGGGGGAUAACGUCCGGAAACGGGCGCUAAUACCGCAUACGUCCUGAGGGAGAAAGUGGGGGAUCUUCGGACCUCACGCUAUCAGAUGAGCCUAGGUCGGAUUAGCUAGUUGGUGGGGUAAAGGCCUACCAAGGCGACGAUCCGUAACUGGUCUGAGAGGAUGAUCAGUCACACUGGAACUGAGACACGGUCCAGACUCCUACGGGAGGCAGCAGUGGGGAAUAUUGGACAAUGGGCGAAAGCCUGAUCCAGCCAUGCCGCGUGUGUGAAGAAGGUCUUCGGAUUGUAAAGCACUUUAAGUUGGGAGGAAGGGCAGUAAGUUAAUACCUUGCUGUUUUGACGUUACCAACAGAAUAAGCACCGGCUAACUCCGUG
rnacentral:rRNA from 1 species